UACCGAAUGCCACGCUGGUAUGUGCCA
rnacentral:sRNA from 1 species